rnacentral:tRNA from 1 species
UAUAGCUCAGUGAUUGAGCUUUUGCCUAACAUGCAAGAGGCCCUGGGUCUAAUCCCCAGUA